rnacentral:lncRNA from 1 species
GGGUGAAUAGUGUGAAAAAGUGAAAAGUUGAUGUAUUUUUACAGAACUGAUGAAGAAGAUAAUAGUAUAUAUAUUAUAAAGAAAAGUUGAAUGGAAGUGAAAAGCACCUGAGGAGUGAUUGGAGAAGGGACUGUUGUCUGAAAUUCAGUAGGGGCAGGGUGUACUGUGUCAUUACCGUUUAGGGACAUUGACAUGGAAAGGGCAUAAAAGGUUUCUGAACCCACCUUUGCUGUGUUUAGCUGCCUUGGGUUGCAUGCAAUGAUGCAAUGCAAUGCCUGGCUGCUACUAUCCCAAAGUCACAUCAGGGAGGGACACCCAAUAAUACUACAAAUAAUAAUCCAUCAUUUUCU